CGGCCCUCCGGCCACGGGUGGCGCUGCGGAGAAACGCCUGCUAUACGCAUGCGCAGUGCUCUCUACAGUUGUUUGCAGAUCUCCGAUUCGAGCGGGGACCUGCAGUGAGAGAUUUAUUGGAAGAAAAACCACGACUGAAGACGAGGGAACAGCAACAAGUGAACCAGCCCGAGGACUGAGAACACCGACUGGAGAGAACCCAUCUGACUCAGGGUUUCCUUUGAUUCAGUCAGGAGAAAGUUUGGGUGUCCUGUUGGGCCGUCCAGAAAUGAUUUCAGCUGGUGACAACCCUGUUCUCCCCUGUGGAGUAACCCUCAUGUGGAAUCGGGCUAAUGGUCGGACCUUCAACCAAAUCUGUCAAAAUGCUGAAAGCAAAAACGUAGGUCACUCCUUUAUAUUUGUAUGAAUCCAUCGGAUGAUGGCAAAGCUGCCAAAACACCUGGUCGAUAUCCACGCACUCGGAUGACCGACCGUGGCUCGGGUCGCAGAAAGCAUAUCUGAUCAGGAGAGUCGUUGUAGGAGAAGAGAUGACCGACCGUGGCUCGGGUCGCAGAAAGCAGAUCUGAUCAGGAGAGUCGUUGUAGGAGAAGAGAUGACCGACCGUGGCUCGGGUCGCAGAAAGCAGAUCUGAUCAGGAGAGUCGUUGUAGGAGAAGAGAUGACCGACCGUGGCUCGGGUCGCAGAAAGCAGAUCUGAUCAGGAGAGUCGUUGUAGGAGAAGAGAUGACCGACCGUGGCUCGGGUCGCAAAAAGCAGAUCUGAUCAGGAGAGUCGUUGUAGGAGAAGAGAUGACCGACCGUGGCUCGGGUCGCAGAAAGCAGAUCUGAUCAGGAGAGUCAUUGUAGGAGAAGGGAUGACCGACCGUGGCUCGGGUCGCAGAAAGCAGAUCUGAUCAGGAGAGUCGUUGUAGGAGAAGAGAUGACCGACCGUGGCUCGGGUCGCAGAAAGCAGAUCUGAUCAGGAGAGUCGUUGUAGGAGAAGAGAUGGAGGAAGAAGAAGAGGAGAUGGAAGUAGAACAGACGAGGCAGGAAUGCGGCGUCGGUAGCGGUAAUGGAAGCGCAGGGAAGGGCGAUGGCGGGUGGGCAGGGCAGCGACGCUGUAAACGUUGCAGACCUACCGCCCCUAAAACGCUUCGACGAGAGCGGGGACGAGAGUGACCCUAAACCAGGACCAUCGGGUGUAUAGAAGAGUCUGAUCUGGGAUCCACGUGUGGUGCGAACUGGGAGACGCUGCCCGAUAGGAUAAUGAUCCUCUUAUCGCGCUCGGUCGCAUCCGUUUCCUCUGGUGAUCGAAAUAACUUUCGCAUAGCCUGGGCUGACGAGAUGCCAUAUUCAUCAACGACUACAACCGCGCUCCGGAUGCACGAAGGAGCAAAACUGCACCUCGACGUCACGGCAAAUUUUAUGCGGGUGGCACGCUUUCUACAUCUCAAAGAGAGACGUAUACAAUGAUGGUGCAUUGAUGCCAGUCAGCACGAUAUCCCAUUGUAUCUAACGUAUGAUAUCCCGAUAUUUACUUUUAUAUUUCUGUAUCUAGAUCCUGCUCGGUAUUUAAUAACUCACUGUCAUUUAUUCCGAAUAUGUUGUGACGUCAUGGAACGGUAUCUGAUUAUUCAGCGCGCCGGCGGCAGCCCUGGUAGUUGUAGUUAGAGUUGUACAAUCAUGCAAUCCAACAUCGUGCAUUAGCGAAACAAGAAGACGGAUAGAGUAGGACUUCCCGGUCCCAGCGUCACCGGUUAGUAAUAACAUCAUAGACGUGUCCCUGGUGAGAAAGAAUAAAUCUAAUACUCCAUAAGCCCACUCCGUCUGCAUCUGAUGAGCAAACGUCUGUAAGCGGCGCCCCGCUGGGUCACACACGGUGUGUUCAUGCUCAUAGCUAGCUGACAUAACUGAUCGUUAAGUGGUCGUCCAGACACUAGCCAGAUGAGACCGGUUGCCACACCAUAGAGAUCUAAUAGUGGGCCGACUACAGAGACGCCUUCCCUUUGUCGCUCAGGCGCUAGUUGGUCCAAAGGUCUACCACGCCUCUCAAAUAGAUGUUCAGAAAUUUGAUAGUAUUUGAAAUCACGCAGCACAUAAAUUCCUGAGUGGUGUCAUGUCCAACACUGCGAAGACUGAUGGACGUAUUUACUACAUUCAGCCUGGUCAA